GGGGGUCAUCCCGACUUACCAACCCGAUGCAAACUACGAAUACCGAAGAAUGUUAUCACGGGAGACACACGGCGGGUGCUAACGUCCGUCGUGAAGAGGGAAACAACCCAGACCGCCAGCUAAGGUCCCAAAGUCAUGGUUAAGUGGGAAACGAUGUGGGAAGGCACAGACAGCCAGGAUGUUGGCUUAGAAGCAGCCAUCAUUUAAAGAAAGCGUAAUAGCUCACUGGUCGAGUCGGCCUGCGCGGAAGAUGUAACGGGGCUAAACCAUGCACCGAAGCUGCGGCAGCGACACUAUGUGUUGUUGGGUAGGGGAGCGUUCUGUAAGCCUGCGAAGGUGUGCUGUGAGGCAUGCUGGAGGUAUCAGAAGUGCGAAUGCUGACAUAAGUAACGAUAAAGCGGGUGAAAAGCCCGCUCGCCGGAAGACCAAGGGUUCCUGUCCAACGUUAAUCGGGGCAGGGUGAGUCGACCCCUAAGGCGAGGCCGAAAGGCGUAGUCGAUGGGAAACAGGUUAAUAUUCCUGUACUUGGUGUUACUGCGAAGGGGGGACGGAGAAGGCUAUGUUAGCCGGGCGACGGUUGUCCCGGUUUAAGCAUGUAGGCUGAUUGUCCAGGCAAAUCCGGAUAAUCAAGGCUGAGGUGUGAUGACGAGGCACUACGGUGCUGAAGUAACAAAUGCCCUGCUUCCAGGAAAAGCCUCUAAGCAUCAGGUAACAUUAAAUCGUACCCCAAACCGACACAGGUGGUCAGGUAGAGAAUACCAAGGCGCUUGAGAGAACUCGGGUGAAGGAACUAGGCAAAAUGGUGCCGUAACUUCGGGAGAAGGCACGCUGGUGUGUAGGUGAAGUCCCUGCGGAUGGAGCUGAGACCAGUCGAAGAUACCAGCUGGCUGCAACUGUUUAUUAAAAACACAGCACUGUGCAAACACGAAAGUGGACGUAUACGGUGUGACGCCUGCCCGGUGCCGGAAGGUUAAUUGAUGGGGUUAUCCGUAAGGAGAAGCUCUUGAUCGAAGCCCCGGUAAACGGCGGCCGUAACUAUAACGGUCCUAAGGUAGCGAAAUUCCUUGUCGGGUAAGUUCCGACCUGCACGAAUGGCGUAAUGAUGGCCAGGCUGUCUCCACCCGAGACUCAGUGAAAUUGAACUCGCUGUGAAGAUGCAGUGUACCCGCGGCAAGACGGAAAGACCCCGUGAACCUUUACUAUAGCUUGACACUGAACAUUGAGCCUUGAUGUGUAGGAUAGGUGGGAGGCUUUGAAGCGUGGACGCCAGUCUGCGUGGAGCCAACCUUGAAAUACCACCCUUUAAUGUUUGAUGUUCUAACGUUGGCCCCUGACCGGGGUUGCGGACAGUGUCUGGUGGGUAGUUUGACUGGGGCGGUCUCCUCCCAAAGCGUAACGGAGGAGCACGAAGGUUAGCUAAUCCUGGUCGGACAUCAGGAGGUUAGUGCAAUGGCAUAAGCUAGCUUGACUGCGAGCGUGACGGCGCGAGCAGGUGCGAAAGCAGGUCAUAGUGAUCCGGUGGUUCUGAAUGGAAGGGCCAUCGCUCAACGGAUAAAAGGUACUCCGGGGAUAACAGGCUGAUACCGCCCAAGAGUUCAUAUCGACGGCGGUGUUUGGCACCUCGAUGUCGGCUCAUCACAUCCUGGGGCUGAAGUAGGUCCCAAGGGUAUGGCUGUUCGCCAUUUAAAGUGGUACGCGAGCUGGGUUUAGAACGUCGUGAGACAGUUCGGUCCCUAUCUGCCGUGGGCGCUGGAGAAUUGAGGGGGGCUGCUCCUAGUACGAGAGGACCGGAGUGGACGCAUCACUGGUGUUCGGGUUGUCAUGCCAAUGGCACUGCCCGGUAGCUAAAUGCGGAAGAGAUAAGUGCUGAAAGCAUCUAAGCACGAAACUUGCCCCGAGAUGAGUUCUCCCUGAGACUUUAAGUCUCCUGAAGGAACGUUAAAGACGAUGACGUUGAUAGGCCGGGUGUGUAAGCGCAGCGAUGCGUUGAGCUAACCGGUACUAAUGAACCGUGAGGCUUAACCUU
rnacentral:rRNA from 1 species